UAGGAGAAGGUAGACAAGCCG
rnacentral:miRNA from 1 species